rnacentral:rRNA from 1 species
UGAGGAAUAUUGGUCAAUGGGCGAGAGCCUGAACCAGCCAAGUAGCGUGCAGGAUGACGGCCCUAUGGGUUGUAAACUGCUUUUAUAAGGGAAUAAAGUGAGCCUCGUGAGGCUUUUUGCAUGUACCUUAUGAAUAAGGACCGGCUAAUUCCGUGCCAGCAGCCGCGGUAAUACGGAAGGUCCGGGCGUUAUCCGGAUUUAUUGGGUUUAAAGGGAGCGUAGGCCGGAGAUUAAGCGUGUUGUGAAAUGUAGGCGCUCAACGUCUGCACUGCAGCGCGAACUGGUUUCCUUGAGUACGCACAAAGUGGGCGGAAUUCGUGGUGUAGCGGUGAAAUGCUUAGAUAUCACGAAGAACUCCGAUUGCGAAGGCAGCUCACUGGAGCGCAACUGACGCUGAAGCUCGAAAGUGCGGGUAUCGAACAGGAUUAGAUACCCUGGUAGUCCGCACGGUAAACGAUGGAUGCCCGCUGUUGGUCUGAACAGGUCAGCGGCCAAGCGAAAGCAUUAAGCAUCCCACCUGGGGAGUACGCCGGCAACGGUGAAACUCAAAGGAAUUGACGGGGGCCCGCACAAGCGGAGGAACAUGUGGUUUAAUUCGAUGAUACGCGAGGAACCUUACCCGGGCUUGAAUUGCAGAGGAAGGAUUUGGAGACAAUGACGCCCUUCGGGGCCUCUGUGAAGGUGCUGCAUGGUUGUCGUCAGCUCGUGCCGUGAGGUGUCGGCUUAAGUGCCAUAACGAGCGCAACCCCUCUCCUUAGUUGCCAUCAGGUCAUGCUGGGCACUCUGGGGACACUGCCACCGUAAGGUGUGAGGAAGGUGGGGAUGACGUCAAAUCAGCACGGCCCUUACGUCCGGGGCUACACACGUGUUACAAUGGCAGGUACAGAGAGACGGUCCCUUGCAAAAGGGAUCAAAUCCUCAAAGCCUGUCUCAGUUCGGACUGGGGUCUGCAACCCGACCCCACGAAGCUGGAUUCGCUAGUAAUCGCGCAUCAGCCGUGGCGCGGUGAAUACGUUCCC